rnacentral:rRNA from 1 species
GACGUAGGGCGCAAGCGUUGUCCGGAUUUAUUGGGCGUAAAGAGCUCGUAGGUGGUUUGUCGCGUUGUUCGUGAAAACUCACAACUCAAUUGUGGGCGUGCGGGCGAUACGGGCAGACUGGAGUACUGCAGGGGAGACUGGAAUUCCUGGUGUAGCGGUGGAAUGCGCAGAUAUCAGGAGGAACACCGGUGGCGAAGGCGGGUCUCUGGGCCAGUACUGACGCUGAGGAGCGAAAGCGUGGGGGAGCGAACAGG